rnacentral:rRNA from 1 species
UACGUAGGGGGCGAGCGUUGUCCGAAGUUACUGGGCGUAAAGCGCGCGUAGGCGGCUCUUUAAGUCUGGUGUGAAAGGUUCAGGGCUCAACCCGAACAGUGCACUGGAUACUGGAGAGCUUGAGUGCAGAAGAGGAAAGCGGAAUUCCACGUGUAGCGGUGAAAUGCGUAGAGAUGUGGAGGAAUACCAAUGGCGAAGGCAGCCCCAUGGGUUAACACUGACGCUCAUGCACGAAAGCGUGGGGAGCAAACAGG